UACGGAGGGGGCAAGCGUUGUUCGGAAUUACUGGGCGUAAAGGGCGCGCAGGCGGCUGCUCAAGUCAGGCGUGAAAGGCCUGGGCUCAACCCGGGAAUUGCGCUUGAGACUGGGCUGGCUUGAGUGCGGGAGGGGAUGUGGAAUUCCCAGUGUAGAGGUGAAAUUCGUAGAUAUUGGGAAGAACACCGGUGGCGAAGGCGGCCAUCUGGACCGCAACUGACGCUGAGGCGCGAAAGCGUGGGGAGCAA
rnacentral:rRNA from 1 species